CAACUACUCCCUCUGUCCCAAAUUUCUUGUCUUAGAUUUGUCUAGAUACGGGUGUAUCUAAUACUAAAAUGUGACUUGAUACAUCCGUAUCUAGACAAAUCUAAGACAAGAAUUUUGGGACGGAGGGAGUACUUU
rnacentral:pre_miRNA from 1 species